CCUACGGGUGGCAGCAGUCGAGAAUCAUUCACAAUGGGGGAAACCCUGAUGGUGCGACGCCGCGUGGGGGAAUGAAGGUCUUCGGAUUGUAAACCCCUGUCAUGUGGGAGCAAAUUAAAAAGAUAGUACCACAAGAGGAAGAGACGGCUAACUCUGUGCCAGCAGCCGCGGUAAUACAGAGGUCUCAAGCGUUGUUCGGAAUCACUGGGCGUAAGGCGUGCGUAGGCUGUUUCGUAAGGCGUGUGUGAAAGGCGCGGGCUCAACCCGCGGACGGCACAUGAUACUGCGAGACUAGAGUAAUGGAGGGGGAACCGGGAUUCUCGGUGUAGCAGUGAAAUGCGUAGAUAUCGAGAGGAACACUCGUGGCGAAGGCGGGUUCCUGGACAUUAACUGACGCUGAGGCACGAAGGCCAGGGGAGCGAAAGGGAUUAGAUACCCUUGUAGUC
rnacentral:rRNA from 1 species